AUGUUGCUGGAGGGUUAUUACUGGGGUGACAGGGUUGUGUGUGUUGUGGUGACGGGGUUGUCGUGUCCCACCCCCAGACAGCUUCACCUGGCGAGGCACCAACACGGGGGCAGCGUUGGGCCAGGUUCUGUCCCUGAUCCAGACGGAGCCGUCCAGAACCAGCACCAGGAAACACGUCGUGGUGCUGAUCACAAGUGGGAGACACAAUGUGGGGCCGGACCCAGCCGGGGUCUCAGCACAAAUCCAGGCGGCCAUCCCCAACCCGGACCAGAACUUGGAUAUCUUCGCUCUGGGGGUCGGGGUUGCCCACAAGGACCAGAUGGAGCAAAUCGCCACGAAGAAGCCGGGAACCCAAAGAUCCUUCUACCUGCAGAGCUACCGUGACCUGGGGGCCUACACCCAGCUGGUGCAGGGCUUGGGCAAAGGUCUCAGCUGUGGGGUGCGGGACGUGGGGCGCAGCCGGUCCAUCGGGCGGGUUUUCCGUGGGGUGCAGGUGAAGAAGCAGUGGCCCUGGCAGGUGUAUCUGAAGUUGGAAGGCAAGGUAGGAGCCCCCCCGAUCCCCUCCCCCCAGGCCCCCCCAUCCCUCCACUGAUCCAUCUUUCUCCCCCCCCAGAAUCAGCCCUAUAUUAUGGCAGGGGGCUCAAUCAUAGCCCCCUCCUGGAUCCUGACCGCGGCUCACAACGUCUGGGACGCAGCGGCCGGGCGAUCCAUGGCCCCCGAGCAAGUGUCUGUGGUUGUAGGUGAGACUGGCACGAGGGGGCGUCAGGGGUCAAGGGCCUCUGCAGGGGGCUCUGGGGGCAUGGGGA
rnacentral:lncRNA from 1 species